CGCGUGUGACGGGCGCCGCCGCUAUAUAAAGGGCGCGCAGGGACCGUGCGGGUCUUUUUUGCCCGCCGCGCUGGCGCGGGGGGGAGGCGAGUGCUGUGUUGUGCCGUUCAGGAUGCACCACUUACAUACACCCUUUUCUCUUACGGCUUUGAAACAGAUCUGCCACAGAAUAAAGAGACUUGAUGCUACUACAAAAGGGUUUGAGUCCUGUACUUGGAAAACUUGCAGAAGAAAUGUCACCUGGUACUGGGAGAUGAAGCUGUAAGCUGUGCAAGGCUGCCCUUGAUGGAGGAUACCUGUGCCUGCAGUGAGAAGCUAUUUCACAGUUACUAGUGCUGGUGAAGACAAGGCCUUCCUAAUUGAAGGCUUCCAAAGUUUCCCAUUGCAAUGGCUGCUGCGGUGAAGCUGUGAGACAGUGCUGUUGGUAGUCUGCCAGCAAAAAUUUGAGAAUGGGAGAACUACUGGAUGCUUUGUGGCAGGUGAUUCUUACUUGAGUGAAGCUCAUGGGGAGUUCGUGUGAGAAACAAGACUAAUUCAUGUCUGAGGAAAGGACUGUGCCAUCUGCACCCUCAUUGGGUGAGGAGGCAACUACGAAACUGCUGUAUGAAGAACUGAGAAGGUGGAAGAUUGCAGAAUAAUGGGUUACACUUGUAUGAACAGCACUAAAAAAGCCCAAGAGUUCUUUUACCACACCAGUAAUGUUUGACUGAUACUGAUUGGUACCAAUAAAAAUUUGUAAAAUCUA